rnacentral:rRNA from 1 species
UGGGGAAUAUUGGACAAUGGGCGAACGCCUGAUCCAGCCAUGCCGCGUGUGUGAAGAAGGUCUUCGGAUUGUAAAGCACUUUAAGUUGGGAGGAAGGGCAUUAACAUAAUACGUUAGUGUUUUGACGUUACCGACAGAAUAAGCACCGGCUAACUCUGUGCCAGCAGCACCGGUAACACAGAGGGUGCAAGCGUUAAUCGGAAUUACUGGGCGUAAAGCGCGCGUAGGUGGUUUGUUAAGUUGGAUGUGAAAGCCCCGGGCUCAACCUGGGAACUGCAUCCAAAACUGGCAAGCUAGAGUACGGUAGAGGGUGGUGGAAUUUCCUGUGUAGCGGUGAAAUGCGUAGAUAUAGGAAGGAACACCAGUGGCGAAGGCGACCACCUGGACUGAUACUGACACUGAGGUGCGAAAGCGUGGGGAGCAAACA